AAAAUCUGGUUUCUCUUCAGAUCGUAUACAUCUUUCGCCUUUUACUAAAGAUUUUCAUGGAGAGGGACAUUUAUGAGUUUUUCUCAAAUUUUGGGGGCCUCUGGUGGAGC
ensembl:snRNA U5 U5 spliceosomal RNA